CUAAACUUCCUGCUAUCAUUGACGUAGCUUGUUUACGCGAUAAAACACUAUCCUACCAGUUUUAUCAAAUACAAACGAAUAUGUGUUAAGUUUAUAAUUAUUUCCUUGUUAUAAAAUAUUCCUACACAAAAAGGCAUGUCACGCGGUUUUAAAAUGCAUAGCUAAGCCAGGUUUACAAUUAAAAUAUCAUUGUUUUAUAACUGAGGGCGUAUAAAGUAUGAUAAAACAGCUUAAUCGAUGAGCUGUGACCUUAACCAAACCCUCGCAGGAAAGAAACUUAACUGUCCCUUCACUAAACACGGUGAGGAUGCGUACACCGGAUAUUGCCACUUAAUGAUAAGGUAUUUUCCGAAAACGUGUUUAUUUUCCGUCAGCAAGAUUCAACUUGUUUAUGCGUGUUUAUAGCUGGCUCGACGAACGAAUUUAAGGCCAUUGUAUGUCAUUUUGUUGAACACCACCCAAAAGACGAGAAUAUUAUAGUACGCUAACGACCAAAACCGCAAAGAGGGGAGCGGUGGUCUAGUAGAUAAGGUGUCGGCCGCUCAAUCCAGGGGUCGUGGGUUCGAGCCCCACUUGGGUCACGACCAUGACUUCUCAUAUGACACCAGUACUGGUUUUUCCAGGAAGCACACUCGAGAGUGGUUACAAUAAGCUUGAAGCUUUCAUCACAAUCGAGCUAAAACAAAUUAGUAUAAACUAAAACCGCAAAAAAGUAAAUUACAAGAUAGCACCAGACACAUGCAGAGAAAAAAAAAGCAGAAAAAAUACUGUUGAUUCAGAAAAUAUUAAAAUACUUGUUUCAAAAAGGAACCCGCUUACAAAAGGGACCAAUUUGCAACAGAAAGAAACCUUUGAUUUGGGCAAAUGGUGAGGAGCCUAUUCACUGACGACAGUGGAAAUGUAUGCUACCUACCACGCCAUCUAUCAGAACUCAAGAUUUACACAAUGCUACCAGUACAAAAAUAUAUAAGUAAUCUAGAGACAUAUACACGGCGGUGUACAUGGAAUUUUCAAUGUUACACAGAGUGCAAUUCCAUGGACAGACAAGGUUUUCAGAGAGUAUUGUUAUACAGUCUAUGAAAGAAUGUGACAAAAUAAAUGGAUGAAUAAAUAGCCUUUAAUCAGUUUGUUUGCCAAGAAAUGUUUUCUUUAACUGAUUUUAUAGUUUCCUAUAUUUCUUGACGUCGCAAAAUGUUUUCAUCGACAAAUUGGUUAAUAUGAGGUAUAGUGAAGACUGCAAGUUGUUUUGAAGAGCAGGCUUAUAACUCUUUCAAUGAUUUUACAAUUAUACAACUGCUUGCAUAACAGAGACCGCAUUUCUGACGCUAAAUUAAGAGGAAAGAGAAAUGCAAGACAGAAGAAUACUUAUCGACAUUAAAAGAAGCAGCUAGUUACUGCAUAAAUGUGAUGAGUGUACAUUACUUCCACAUAAGAUUGGGCAUUGAUACUGAAAUAGGUUCUGUUGUGAUAGAUUUAUUUUACCAAACAUUAUUUGACAAGUAAUAUUGUAAAAGCCAUGUUUUACUUUGAUAUAGAACAAAUAGUCAUGUACAUUGAAAUAUUUACUAAACAAACUUGAAACGUAAACACAAAUUCAUAAAAUAGCAAAGAUAAUAAUAAGAUAGUAGAAGAACUC